rnacentral:lncRNA from 1 species
CUUCUUCUCGCGUCCCUUGCUUCCCCCUCCUUUCAUGAAGCUUCCACUGUAACGUCUCCCUUAGAAUCCCGAAGGUCUCAUCUUAUUGACGUUGUGGUAAGGUAAGUCAUGUUUUCAUUUCUUAAUACGUAAUUAUUUGACCUGAUGGGAUAAAAGUUAUUUGUUUCCUAUAAAAUUUCCAAUACAAAUAGUAGCGGCGGCG